rnacentral:rRNA from 1 species
UGGAUCCAGACUUUGAUUAUGGCUCAGGACGAACGCUGGCGGCGCGCCUAACACAUGCAAGUCGAACGGAGUCAAGAGGAGCUUGCUUUUCUUGACUUAGUGGCGAACGGGUGAGUAACGCGUGAGUAACCUGCCCUGAAGUGGGGGACAACAGUUGGAAACGACUGCUAAUACCGCAUAAGCCCACGGAUUCGCAUGGAUCUGCGGGAAAAGGAUUUAUUCGCUUCAGGAUGGACUCGCGUCCAAUUAGCUAGUUGGUGAGGUAACGGCCCACCAAGGCGACGAUUGGUAGCCGGACUGAGAGGUUGAACGGCCACAUUGGGACUGAGACACGGCCCAGACUCCUACGGGAGGCAGCAGUGGGGGAUAUUGCACAAUGGGGGAAACCCUGAUGCAGCGACGCCGCGUGGAGGAAGAAGGUUUUCGGAUUGUAAACUCCUGUCGUUAGGGACGAUAAUGACGGUACCUAACAAGAAAGCACCGGCUAACUACGUGCCAGCAGCCGCGGUAAAACGUAGGGUGCAAGCGUUGUCCGGAAUUACUGGGUGUAAAGGGAGCGCAGGCGGACCGGCAAGUUGGAAGUGAAAACUAUGGGCUCAACCCAUAAAUUGCUUUCAAAACUGCUGGCCUUGAGUAGUGCAGAGGUAGGUGGAAUUCCCGGUGUAGCGGUGGAAUGCGUAGAUAUCGGGAGGAACACCAGUGGCGAAGGCGACCUACUGGGCACCAACUGACGCUGAGGCUCGAAAGCAUGGGUAGCAAACAGGAUUAGAUACCCUGGUAGUCCAUGCCGUAAACGAUGAUUACUAGGUGUUGGAGGAUUGACCCCUUCAGUGCCGCAGUUAACACAAUAAGUAAUCCACCUGGGGAGUACGACCGCAAGGUUGCAACUCAAAUGAAUUGACGGA